GAUGAACGCUGGCGGCGUGCCUAAUACAUGCAAGUCGAGCGAACGGACGAGAAGCUUGCUUCUCUGACGUUAGCGGCGGACGGGUGAGUAACACGUGGAUAACCUACCUAUAAGACUGGGAUAACUUCGGGAAACCGGAGCUAAUACCGGAUGAUAUUUUGAACCGCAUGGUUCAAAAGUGAAAGACGGCCUUGCUGUCACUUAUAGAUGGAUCCGCGCUGCAUUAGCUAGUUGGUAAGGUAACGGCUUACCAAGGCAACGAUGCGUAGCCGACCUGAGAGGGUGAUCGGCCACACUGGAACUGAGACACGGUCCAGACUCCUACGGGAGGCAGCAGUAGGGAAUCUUCCGCAAUGGGCGAAAGCCUGACGGAGCAACGCCGCGUGAGUGAUGAAGGUCUUCGGAUCGUAAAACUCUGUUAUUAGGGAAGAACAAAUGUGUAAGUAACUGUGCACAUCUUGACGGUACCUAAUCAGAAAGCCACGGCUAACUACGUG
rnacentral:rRNA from 1 species